rnacentral:rRNA from 1 species
GACGAACGCUGGCGGCGUGCUUAACACAUGCAAGUCGAACGGAAAGGCCCUGCUUUUGUGGGGUGCUCGAGUGGCGAACGGGUGAGUAACACGUGAGUAACCUGCCCUUGACUUUGGGAUAACUUCAGGAAACUGGGGCUAAUACCGGAUAGGAGCUCCUGCUGCAUGGUGGGGGUUGGAAAGUUUCGGCGGUUGGGGAUGGACUCGCGGCUUAUCAGCUUGUUGGUGGGGUAGCGGCUUACCAAGGCUUUGACGGGUAGCCGGCCUGAGAGGGUGACCGGCCACAUUGGGACUGAGAUACGGCCCAGACUCCUACGGGAGGCAGCAGUGGGGAAUAUUGCACAAUGGGCGGAAGCCUGAUGCAGCAACGCCGCGUGCGGGAUGACGGCCUUCGGGUUGUAAACCGCUUUCGCCUGUGACGAGGCGUGAGUGACGGUAAUGGGUAAAGAAGCACCGGCUAACUACGUG